UCCUUUGUUGACAAAUUUGUUUUGAUUUUUUUUUGUGAAAAUUGUCAACAAAAAAUUAUUUUCUUUGGUUAAAAUCAAAAUCACGCGAAUUUAGGACCCAUUUCCGGACGAAACUCUAAGAAUGGAGGCGUCAAAAAGUUGCAGGAAUUCAACAGAAGUGAAGAAUAAGUGGA
rnacentral:sRNA from 1 species